AACAGCUUGGCACACCUGAGUAGGAAGGAUUCCAGCAGCAAACGAUCCUACUUCCAACAGUGAUAAAACGGCUGUGAGUUUCAGGAUCUUGACGCGAGACGAGUAUCACGGAGUCAGAUUUGG